UAGGGAAUCUUCCGCAAUGGGCGAAAGCCUGACGGAGCAACGCCGCGUGAGUGAUGAAGGUCUUCGGAUCGUAAAACUCUGUUAUUAGGGAAGAACAAAUGUGUAAGUAACUAUGCACGUCUUGACGGUACCUAAUCAGAAAGCCACGGCUAACUACGUGCCAGCAGCCGCGGUAAUACAGAGGGUGCGAGCGUUAAUCGGAUUUACUGGGCGUAAAGCGUGCGUAGGCGGCUUUUUAAGUCUGAUGUGAAAGCCCACGGCUCAACCGUGGAGGGUCAUUGGAAACUGGAAAACUUGAGUGCAGAAGAGGAAAGUGGAAUUCCAUGUGUAGCGGUGAAAUGCGCAGAGAUAUGGAGGAACACCAGUGGCGAAGGCGACUUUCUGGUCUGUAACUGACGCUGAUGUGCGAAAGCGUGGGGAUCAAACAGG
rnacentral:rRNA from 1 species